rnacentral:rRNA from 1 species
UGCAAUAUCAUAAGCGGAGGAAAAGAAACCAACAGGGAUUGCCUCAGUAACGGCGAGUGAAGCGGCAAAAGCUCAAAUUUGAAAUCUGGUACCUUUGGUGCCCGAGUUGUAAUUUGAAGAUAGUUUUCUGGUGCUGGCCCUUGUCUAUGUUCCUUGGAACAGGACGUCACAGAGGGUGAGAAUCCCGUCUGGCGGGGUGUCCAGUGCUUUGUAGAUUUCUAUCGACGAGUCGAGUUGUUUGGGAAUGCAGCUCUAAGUGGGUGGUAAAUUCCAUCUAAAGCUAAAUAUUGGCGAGAGACCGAUAGCGAACAAGUACAGUGAUGGAAAGAUGAAAAGAACUUUGAAAAGAGAGUGAAAAAGUACGUGAAAUUGUUGAAAGGGAAGGGUAUUAGAUCAGACUUGGUGUUUUGUGAUUAUCUUCCCUUCUUGGGUUGUGCACUCGCAUUUCACUGGGCCAGCAUCGGUUCGGGUGGUAAGAUAAUGACAUUGGAACGUGGCACUGCCUUCGGGUGGUGUGUUAUAGCCCUUGUUGAUGUUGCCUACCUGGACCGAGGACUGCGGCUUUUGCCUAGGAUGCUGGCGUAAUGAUCUAACACCGCCCGUCUUGAAACACGGGACCA